rnacentral:rRNA from 1 species
UGGCUCAGGACGAACGCUGGCGGCGUGCCUAAUACAUGCAAGUCGAACGCUUCUUUCCUCCCGAGUGCUUGCACUCAAUUGGAAAGAGGAGUGGCGGACGGGUGAGUAACACGUGGGUAACCUACCCAUCAGAGGGGGAUAACACUUGGAAACAGGUGCUAAUACCGCAUAACAGUUUAUGCCGCAUGGCAUAAGAGUGAAAGGCGCUUUCGGGUGUCGCUGAUGGAUGGACCCGCGGUGCAUUAGCUAGUUGGUGAGGUAACGGCUCACCAAGGCCACGAUGCAUAGCCGACCUGAGAGGGUGAUCGGCCACACUGGGACUGAGACACGGCCCAGACUCCUACGGGAGGCAGCAGUAGGGAAUCUUCGGCAAUGGACGAAAGUCUGACCGAGCAACGCCGCGUGAGUGAAGAAGGUUUUCGGAUCGUAAAACUCUGUUGUUAGAGAAGAACAAGGACGUUAGUAACUGAACGUCCCCUGACGGUAUCUAACCAGAAAGCCACGGCUAACUACGUGCCAGCAGCCGCGGUAAUACGUAGGUGGCAAGCGUUGUCCGGAUUUAUUGGGGUAAAGCGAGCGCAGGCGGUUUCUUAAGUCUGAUGUGAAAGCCCCCGGCUCAACCGGGGAGGGUCAUUGGAAACUGGGAGACUUGAGUGCAGAAGAGGAGAGUGGAAUUCCAUGUGUAGCGGUGAGCGUAGAUAUAUGGAGGAACACCAGUGGCGAAGGCGGCUCUCUGGUCUGUAACUGACGCUGAGGCU